rnacentral:rRNA from 1 species
UGGCGAGUGGCGGACGGGUGAGGAAUACAUCGGAAUCUACUCUUUCGUGGGGGAUAACGUAGGGAAACUUACGCUAAUACCGCGUACGACCUACGGGUGAAAGCGGAGGACCUUCGGGCUUCGCGCGAUUGAAUGAGCCGAUGUCGGAUUAGCUAGUUGGCGGGGUAAAGGCCCACCAAGGCGACGAUCCGUAGCUGGUCUGAGAGGAUGAUCAGCCACACUGGAACUGAGACACGGUCCAG